GUUUCCCAACAUCUUUCUCUCCCUCUCCUUUCCUCUCUUGCGCUUUCAGUAGCAGUCAUCAUAGCAUGGAAUUGCAUUUCUCUAAGGAUGCUAAACACACACACAUCCUCCGUGAACAGAUACCUAUGUAUAGAAGUCAAGCAACAAAAUUCAAGCUAUCCUUUGUACUGGCAGUCAUAGUUCCUGAAGCUGCUGCUGGCCUCCUUAUUCCAAGCCUGAAAAGCCAUGAACCAAGUGGGAAAUAGAAGGGACCUGGUUCACAAA